GGACUACUCGGGUUUCUAAUCCUGUUUGCUCCCCACGCUUUCGCGUCUCAGCGUCAGUAACGUCCCAGCGAGCUGCCUUCGCAAUUGGUGUUCCUCCUGAUAUCUGCGCAUUUCACCGCUACACCAGGAAUUCCACUCGCCUCUUCCGUACUCAAGCCCGACAGUAUCCACCGGCAUCCGAGGGUUGAGCCCCCGACUUUCACAGCGGACUUACCGGACCGCCUACACGCGCUUUACGCCCAAUGAUUCCGGACAACGCUAGCCCCCUACGUAUUACCGCGGCUGCUGGCAC
rnacentral:rRNA from 1 species